rnacentral:pre_miRNA from 1 species
AGGAGCAACAGCCCCAGUGGCGGGGCCAGCUCUGGAAUCCUGGAUUCAGCUCCGGCAGGAACUCCGGAGCUCUCGGUCUGCAGGGCCUGGAGGCACCGGGGCGGG